GUAUAAUGGGUCAGCGACUUAUAUUCAGUGGCAAGGUUAACCAUCUAGGGGAGCCGUAGGGAAACCGAGUCUUAACUGGGCGUUCAGUCUCUGGAUAUAGACCCGAAACCAGGUGAUCUAGCCAUGGGCAGGUUGAAGGUUGAGUAACAUCAACUGGAGGACCGAACCGACUAAUGUUGAAAAAUUAGCGGAUGACUUGUGGCUAGGGGUGAAAGGCCAAUCAAACCUGGAGAUAGCUGGUUCUCCCCGAAAGCUAUUUAGGUAGCGCCUCGGACGAAUACUACUGGGGGUAGAGCACUGUUAAGGCUAGGGGGUCAUCCCGACUUACCAACCCUUUGCAAACUCCGAAUACCAGUAAGUACUAUCCGGGAGACACACGGCGGGUGCUAACGUCCGUCGUGGAGAGGGAAACAACCCAGACCGCCAGCUAAGGUCCCAAAUUACUACUAAGUGGGAAACGAUGUGGGAAGGCUCAGACAGCCAGGAUGUUGGCUUAGAAGCAGCCAUCAUUUAAAGAAAGCGUAAUAGCUCACUGGUCGAGUCGGCCUGCGCGGAAGAUGUAACGGGGCUAAGUAGUAAACCGAAGCUGCGGCAAUGUGCUUUUGCACAUUGGGUAGGGGAGCGUUCUGUAAGCGGUUGAAGGUGUGUGGUAACGCAUGCUGGACGUAUCAGAAGUGCGAAUGCUGACAUGAGUAACGAUAAAGGGGGUGAAAAACCUCCUCGCCGGAAGACCAAGGGUUCCUGUCCAACGUUAAUCGGGGCAGGGUAAGUCGACCCCUAAGGCGAGGCCGAAAGGCGUAGUCGAUGGGAAACGGGUUAAUAUUCCCGUACUUCUUACAAUUGCGAUGGGGGGACGGAGAAGGCUAGGUGGGCCUGGCGACGGUUGUCCAGGUUCAAGUGCGUAGGCUUAAGAGUUAGGUAAAUCCGGCUCUUUUUAAGGCUGAGACACGACGUCGAGCACCUACGGGUGUGAAGUCAUUGAUGCCAUGCUUCCAGGAAAAGCCUCUAAGCUUCAGAUUGUAAGGAAUCGUACCCCAAACCGACACAGGUGGUCGGGUAGAGAAUACCAAGGCGCUUGAGAGAACUCGGGUGAAGGAACUAGGCAAAAUGGUACCGUAA
rnacentral:rRNA from 1 species